GGGGUUGUGGCUCAGAGGUAGAGCACUCGCCUAGCAUGUGUGAGGCGCUGGGUUCGAUCCUCAGCACCACA
rnacentral:tRNA from 1 species